ensembl:lncRNA
AUUGGAAGACUCUUGGGUUUAAUAGCUUCAGAGACUACUGAUAGAAAAUGGCAAUCCCUAUUCUUCAGAGUAUGAACAUGAAAUGGAAGAUAAAGUUAAGAGUAAGCAUCCAGGGAAAUGUAGAAGUCCCAAGGGGCAGCCUUCACUCUUACAGAUCAUAAAACAACAACUGUCUUCAAAGACUGCAUCUUCUCCUGUGAUUUAUGCCUCCGGGGAUUAAAACUGCAUGGAGAUUACAUUCCCCAGCCAGGACAUAGCUGGGAAAAGCUGGUUCAGUGCUUCAUACUGUGGCAGUGUUAGGAGGCUGAGGAGACCUGUGGGAAGACAUGGAAGUAACACAUCUGCACUCUGAGGAUGAGUGACUGCCAGCUGUGUUUUAAGUUGAAUUUGUGGAGAACUACGUCUUGCUUGCUGCUCUUGGCCAGCCAUGGCAAUUUGUAUGUAGGAUUUCUGUGUCUCUGCUACCCCGUAUGUUAUGAAUAUUUCUUUUGGAGUAGGAUGUUGGUGCCUAAGCCUAAGAUUAGAUGCUGGUAUGUGAUACGUUGUUUACUGCGUUGUAUCGUACCUGGAAAAAUAAAGUGAAGCACU